GACGAACGCUGGCGGCGUGCUUAACACAUGCAAGUCGAACGCUGAAGCUCAGCUUUUGUUGGGUGGAUGAGUGGCGAACGGGUGAGUAACACGUGAGUAACCUGCCCCCUUCUUUGGGAUAACGCCCGGAAACGGGUGCUAAUACUGGAUAUUCACUGGUCUUCGCCUGGGGGUUGGUGGAAAGGGUUUUUUUGGUGGGGGAUGGGCUCGCGGCCUAUCUGCUUGUUGGUGGGGUGAUGGCCUACCAAUGCUUUGGCGGGUAGCCGGCCUGAGAGGGUGACCGGUAACAUUGGGACUGUGAUACGGCCCAGGCGCGUACGGGAGGCAGAAGUGGGGGAUAUUGCACAAUGGGCGCAAGAGUGAUGCAGCGACGCCGCGUGAGGGAUGGAGGCCUUCGGGUUGUGAACCUCUUUCGCUCAUGGUGAAGCCGCAACAAUGGUUGUGGUGAGGGUAGUGGGUAAAGAAGCGCCGGCUAACUACGUG
rnacentral:rRNA from 1 species